GGCCUAAUAGUCAAGUAUGAUAUUAAAUUGCAAGUUUAGAGGUAAGAAAUUUUUAGGCUU
rnacentral:tRNA from 1 species